rnacentral:rRNA from 1 species
GACGAACGCUGGCGGCGUGCCUAAUACAUGCAAGUAGAACGCUGAAGAGAGGAGCUUGCUCUUCUUGGAUGAGUUGCGAACGGGUGAGUAACGCGUAGGUAACCUGCCUGGUAGCGGGGGAUAACUAUUGGAAACGAUAGCUAAUACCGCAUAAAAUUGAUUAUUGCAUGAUAAUUAAUUGAAAGAUGCAAUUGCAUCACUACCAGAUGGACCUGCGUUGUAUUAGCUAGUUGGUGAGGUAACGGCUCACCAAGGCGACGAUACAUAGCCGACCUGAGAGGGUGAUCGGCCACACUGGGACUGAGACACGGCCCAGACUCCUACGGGAGGCAGCAGUAGGGAAUCUUCGGCAAUGGGGGGAACCCUGACCGAGCAACGCCGCGUGAGUGAAGAAGGUUUUCGGAUCGUAAAGCUCUGUUGUAAGAGAAGAACGGGUGUGAGAGUGGAAAGUUCACACUGUGACGGUAUCUUACCAGAAAGGGACGGCUAACUACGUGCCAGCAGCCGCGGUAAUACGUAGGUCCCGAGCGUUGUCCGGAUUUAUUGGGCGUAAAGCGAGCGCAGGCGGUUAGAUAAGUCUGAAGUUAAAGGCUGUGGCUUAACCAUAGUAUGCUUUGGAAACUGUUUAACUUGAGUGCAGAAGGGGAGAGUGGAAUUCCAUGUGUAGCGGUGAAAUGCGUAGAUAUAUGGAGGAACACCGGUGGCGAAAGCGGCUCUCUGGUCUGUAACUGACGCUGAGGCUCGAAAGCGUGGGGAGCAAACAGGAUUAGAUACCCUGGUAGUCCACGCCGUAAACGAUGAGUGCUAGGUGUUAGGCCCUUUCCGGGGCUUAGUGCCGCAGCUAACGCAUUAAGCACUCCGCCUGGGGAGUACGACCGCAAGGUUGAAACUCAAAGGAACUGACGGGGGCCCGCACAAGCGGUGGAGCAUGUGGUUUAAUUCGAAGCAACGCGAAGAACCUUACCAGGUCUUGACAUCCCUCUGACCGCUCUAGAGAUAGAGUUUUCCUUCGGGACAGAGGUGACAGGUGGUGCAUGGUUGUCGUCAGCUCGUGUCGUGAGAUGUUGGGUUAAGUCCCGCAACGAGCGCAGCCCCUAUUGUUAGUUGCCAUCAUUCAGUUGGGCACUCUAGCGAGACUGCCGGUAAUAAACCGGAGGAAGGUGGGGAUGACGUCAAAUCAUCAUGCCCCUUAUGACCUGGGCUACACACGUGCUACAAUGGCUGGUACAACGAGUCGCAAGCCGGUGACGGCAAGCUAAUCUCUGAAAGCCAGUCUCAGUUCGGAUUGUAGGCUGCAACUCGCCUACAUGAAGUCGGAAUCGCUAGUAAUCGCGGAUCAGCACGCCGCGGUGAAUACGUUCCCGGGCCU